rnacentral:piRNA from 1 species
UCUAUAAUGAGAUCUGGUACCCUAUUUU